CUCAGUAUUUCAAUUUCUUAAUGACAAAUCCGAAUAAAACAAUAAAAAUUCAAAACAAAGGGAACAUAUCCACCAGCUAGAACUGCAAUCCUUUCUAUAGUUUCUAGAAUAUUUUAUUCAAACGAUUUACCAAACGAAAAAAAGAAGGAUUCUUGUCUCGACCGAAACUUAAAAUGCCACGAGGCAGCAUUUUAGAGGCCGUCUUGAGCCGCCAACCGAGUCAAAAAUCUCGUGUCCAUGACGCGUUCCCUUCACAUCCAAUCUCUAAUUUUCCUAGAAAAUUCAAUGAGCUGCUGCUGUGCAAAUUCCAAACGUGCUCCUAAAUACCCAUAUAUAAAUACCAUCAACUCUUUCCUUGCCUACCGUCUCCUUCAUUCACCCACUCUUUAAAUCUCUCUCUCUCUCUCUCUCUCUCUCUCUCUCUGAUUCUUGGUUUCGCUCAAUCUUCUUGGACUCGAUCUGUUGGUGUUGGUUUUUGAAGAUGAGUCCCAUGAAGCUGUAUGCUGAAUUUGCUGGCUUUAUGUUCUUGGCACUUUUGCAGCUUGGCUAUGGACAAGGCAUGGCUCCUUCUCCGGCAGCACGGGGCCCAUCCAGCGAUGGCAAGGCUAUUGAUCAAGGAAUUGCUUACGUCCUUUUGCUAGUGGCUCUUGCAGUCACCUACCUCUUCCACUGAUUUCUUUUAUACAUUUAUUCAUUUUUCCUUUAAAAUUCUUCAUGUAUUUUCUCCCCCCACAUUUACUUGGAGAAAUUGCAGCCAUUUUGUAUCUAUUAUAAAUUCUUGUAAUUUAUAGAAAAAAAAAUAAAGAUUAUUAUUUUUUUCUCUA